UCCACCCUUUCUCCUUUUUCCCCGCCAUUUUGCUUCCUUUUCCCACCCAUUCAAUCUUUCCAAGCACUUACCUCUUUUCCUUUUUCUUUUCCACUCCCCCUUUCUCUCCUCCUUCCUUCACCACCUUCUUCUUUCCCCUCACUUUUACCUUCUUUCCCUUCCUUCUUUCCUUUCUGCAUUCUUUUCCCCUCUACUCCUCCUCAUCUCCUUGGUGCCUCCCCUCCACCUUCUCAUUCCCCCUUUCCCAUCCUUCUUCCACUUCCCUUACAUCAUAUUCUCCUUCUCACAGGUUUUCUCUGCCUAAUAUCUCUACAGCUCCAAUCAAAUAUUCUCACCUUGAACCACAUCAGGAAUUCUUCAUCAUUUCUGGUAUUUGUCUGGGGCUGGCUGUGCACCCAGAAGGCCAUUCGUUCCAUGAAGAACAUGACAGAGGUACCUGGUCCUACCUGGAUUCUUGGGCAUGCGGGCAGCAGCAGCAGCAGCAGCCACAGUGAACUUCAUCCUAAGGAAAUUAAGCACACGUUGCGUGAGGCUGCUGUGGGGGUGCCAGGUGCUGAGGUUUCUGUAGUGGAUAAAACACAAAAAUACCAGCCCUCAUGGUGAAAAUGGAAUGACAAUAAACAAGAUAAAUUAGAUCUAUGCAACAAAACCAAGCCUUUGUGCACAUCUGUGGUUGUGACCAGUUGGAGAGACAUUAGGAGAUGAGAUACUAUGUUCACUCCUCACAGCUGUACCAGGGACCUGAGAUAUUCCGUCACUAUUCUAUGAGUGAGUAAAUUUAAUAUGUGGAAAGAACUGAGAACUUUUUCUUAAAAGCAUGAAGAGCAGGACUUUGUCAGGUUAUAGAGAAAUCAAACUAUUUUUUUCUGAAGCCAAAGAGGGACACUAACUGCCUUAUUUAACCAAGCCAUGGGAAGGAUAGAGCAGGCUGGUUUCAUACAUAAAUGGAUCUAGGGCCUUAGCCCAGUCUGACAGUCACUGUGAGAGUCUUACCCUGUUUGACUGGCCUUGACUUCAGACCCAGAGCUAUCCCUGGACCCAUCACUGUGGCCAGGGGAAAUGGUAGGACCAUUGGCCCAGAUUGUGCCCACUCAUGUGGUCAGGAAGCGGGCAGGAGUGCUAUGACCAUCUCUCACCAUGGUGAGAUGGGAUAGUGGAGUAGGAGCCAUUUGCCCCAGAAAGUAGUAACUAUUCUGGAUAGAACCUUUGUGGCAAAGCCAUGGUUCUUCUAAAAUAGCCCUUGCAGAAAUGUAAACCUGAAUGUGGGCAGGCAGAACAAUGAGAUCCAGGAAACAGGAUUCAGUUUGAGAAAAUCUGGUUUAUUAGCAACUGACAUCAGGUGAGUGCUGAUGCUUAUAUCUCCAAAGCAAAAUUUGGGAAACCAGAGAAAGUAAGGUCAAAUCAGUAGAACCUCGUUAUCCUGAGAGACACAGGGACUAAUCCAGUGAAUAAUGUUCAUGUGUUAGGAUUUUGGAGAUCCCACCAGUGGUUUUCCGGUGCCAGGGUAUGAGAAGAUAGUCUCCAUGUCCAAACUCACAAUUUCAGAACAAAUUUCAUCAAGAUAAAGGCCUGGGCUGGUGAAUGGUUCCUGCUUUCACUAUUCCAGAUGUCCAGCUCUGUACCUUGCUGCUCUCCUUAAAGCCUGCCUCCCUCUAGAUGGUCUGGCUUGAUGAUAUCCAACCUGACGUGGCCUGAAGAGACAGACAGUGGCUCUUGCUAGCUAAUUAUUGUCAGAUGGAUCGGCAGCCGACCAACGCUUCUGAAACUAUUGUUUUUGGCAAAUGUUCCUCAACAUUUUCCUGGGAGCUAUGGUGCAUUACUCACGAGUGACAGAACCAACGAGCUUCAUCUCCCAAGAGGCUGGUGCAUCUGUUUAAAGGAGCAGGCACUAGGCAGAGCAGCCCCCACCCCACCCUCCAUGGCAGAGUGCAGUGGGGGAAGAAGUUUUCAUAGAAAUGCUUUCUAUAAAGCAUUUUCAUAGAGAAAGCAGGUUCAUAUAGAAAGCACUGGCUGCUGGUUGGAGUGGAGAGAUUGAAGACCCUCAUCUAGGAUCAAGCAACCCCCAGAAAACAAUUUUAAACAUGUCCAUUCAGACAAAAGGAGUCCAAAACCAUAAGAUCCUCUCAGCAUCCUGAACUAAUGUCCAGCUGUUAUCUCGGGAUGGGAUUUCACCAUGUUGUCCAAGCUGGUUUUGAACUCCUGGGGUCAAGAAAUCCACCUGCUUCGGCCUCCCACAGUGCUGGGAUUACAGGUGUGAGCCCCUGCACCCAGCCUAAUUAAGUUUUGAAUAUCUUAUCCCUAUCAAUGACUUGUCUUUUCAUUCCUCUAACGUUCUUAAUUUUGAUCAAGUCCAAUUUAUCUUUUCUCUCCUUUAUAGAUUGUGCUUUUGGUGUUACAUCUAAGAAAUCUUUGCUUUUGAUUAUUUUAAAAAUUGAUUUUCUCAUCAAGUAAAAGAAAAUGUACUUUCAAGUUCCUUUAAGUAUAUCCACGUUGCCUAGGCAACCAAGUUAUUUAUCAAUAGGUGAUCAUUUGUAAUGAUUUGUUAAUAAAGG
rnacentral:lncRNA from 10 species